AGUGAACGCUGGCGGUAGGCCUAACACAUGCCAGUCGAACGGCAGCACAGUAAGAGCUUGCUCUUACGGGUGGCGAGUGGCGGACGGGUGAGGAAUACAUCGGAAUCUACUUUUUCGUGGGGGAUAACGAAGGGAAACUUACGCUAAUACCGCAUACGACCUACGGGUGAAAGCAGGGGAUCUUCGGACUUUGCGUGAUUGAAUGAGCCGAUGUCGGAUUAGUUAGUUGGCGGGUUAAAGGCCAACCAAGGCGACGAUCCGUAGCUGGUCUGAGAGGAUGAUCAGCCACACUGGAACUGAGACACGGUCCAGACUCCGACGGGAGGCAGCAGUGGGGAAUAUUGGACGAUGGGCGCAAGCCUGAUCCAGCCAUACCGCGUGGGUGAAGAAGGCCUUCGGGUUGGAAAGCCCUUUUGUUGGGAAAGAAAAGCAGCAGGUUAAUACCCCGCUGUUCUGACGGUACCCAAAGAAUAAGCACCGGCUAACUUCGUG
rnacentral:rRNA from 1 species